rnacentral:misc_RNA from 1 species
GUCAAAACUGUGUUCAUCUUAUUAGUAGAGUUUAUUUAUUUUAUUUGACCUUAGCAAGAGAUUUGCGCUGUGUUCGUAAACCGUUCAAUGUGUUCUUUUUAUAUGUUCAUGUUUUUCCUUUGAAUGAUGAUGAUUUUAUUUCAUUGCGAAGUUUUUUUUUCUCACACUAUUUAAACUUAUUUUUUAUGUAUUUAAGAAGUUAGGUGAUAAUUCGAAUCUGUAAAGUACACAACAAUCUUGCCAAAAAUUGAUUAAUGUAUUAAUUAACGUGUGUAAAAAUCGACUGUGAUAAUACCCCGUGUAUCCAUGUCAGAUAUUUAUUUUUUUACUAACAAUGUACAUGUAAAAAUGUGAAAACAUUCAUGCAAUGCAGCAUUGAUUUCUCUCUUCUUCUGUUUUUUUUUAAAGAUAUGUACGGGAAUUUGUUUAAAAAAAAUAAAAUGAUCAGAACCG